AGUGAACGCUGGCGGUAGGCCUAACACAUGCAAGUCGAACGGCAGCACAGGAGAGCUUGCUCUCUGGGUGGCGAGUGGCGGACGGGUGAGGAAUACAUCGGAAUCUGCCCAGUCGUGGGGGAUAACGUAGGGAAACUUACGCUAAUACCGCAUACGACCUUCGGGUGAAAGAGGGGGAUCGCAAGACCUCUCGCGAUUGGAUGAGCCGAUGUCGGAUUAGCUAGUUGGCGGGGUAAUGGCCCACCAAGGCGACGAUCCGUAGCUGGUCUGAGAGGAUGAUCAGCCAUACUGGAACUGAGACACGGUCCAGACUCCUACGGGAGGCAGCAGUGGGGAAUAUUGGACAAUGGGCGCAAGCCUGAUCCAGCCAUACCGCGUGGGUGAAGAAGGCCUUCGGGUUGUAAAGCCCUUUUGUUGGGAAAGAAAUCUUUCAGGCUAAUACCCUGGGAGGAUGACGGUACCCAAAGAAUAAGCACCGGCUAACUUCGUG
rnacentral:rRNA from 1 species